UACGGAGGGUGCAAGCGUUAAUCGGAAUUACUGGGCGUAAAGGGUGCGUAGGUUGUUUGAUAAGUUAUCUGUAAAAUCCCCGGGCUUAACCUGGGCAGGUCAGAUAAGACUGUUGAACUCGAGUAUGGGAGAGGGUAGUGGAAUUUCCGGUGUAGCGGUGAAAUGCGUAGAGAUCGGAAGGAACACCAGUGGCGAAGGCGGCUACCUGGCCUAAUACUGACACUGAGGCGCGAAAGCGUGGGGAGCAAACAGGAUUAG
rnacentral:rRNA from 1 species